rnacentral:lncRNA from 1 species
AAAAGUAGAAAUCGUUUAAAACUAGAGGUGAAUCAAAAAGAAAACUUUGAAUAGGGAAGAAUGGAAAAUCGACACAAAGAAAAAGAAGGAAGAACAAGGGAUUUUCGACUUUUAGAUAUUUAGAGAAAAAAGGUGCUUUCUGGCAACAAGGUGAGCAAGAAUUCGGCAUUAGCCUGGCAACCUCACAUUCGGCAUCUAUAUAUAGCCUUUAGCCAAAUUUCCUAUCCCCUAAUCCCUAAU